UACGUAGGGCGCAAGCGUUGUUCGGAUUCACUGGGCGUAAAGGGUGCGUAGGCGGUCGGGUAAGUCUGAUGUGAAAUCUCACAGCUUAACUGUGAAACUGCAUUGGAUACUAUCCGGCUCGAGGAAUGGAGGGGAGACUGGAAUACUUGGUGUAGCAGUGAAAUGCGUAGAUAUCAAGAGGAACACCAGUGGCGAAGGCGAGUCCCUGGACAAUACCUGACACUGAGGCACGAAAGCCAAGGGAGCAAACAGG
rnacentral:rRNA from 1 species